AUUGAACGCUGGCGGCAGGCCUAACACAUGCAAGUCGAGCGGAUGAAGAGAGCUUGCUCUCUGAUUCAGCGGCGGACGGGUGAGUAAUGCGUAGGAAGCUACCCGAUAGAGGGGGAUACCAGUUGGAAACGGCUGUUAAUACCGCAUAAUGCCUACGGACCAAAGUGUGGGACCUUCGGGCCACAUGCUAUCGGAUGCGCCUACGUGGGAUUAGCUAGUUGGUGAGGUAAUGGCUCACCAAGGCGACGAUCCCUAGCUGGUUUGAGAGGAUGAUCAGCCACACUGGAACUGAGACACGGUCCAGACUCCUACGGGAGGUAGCAGUAAGGAAUAUUGGACAAUGGGCGCAAGCCUGAUCCAGCCAUGCCGCGUGUGUGAAGAAGGCCUUCGGGUUGUAAAGCACUUUCAGUAGGGAGGAAGCGUUGUGUGUUAAUAGUACACAGCGUUGACGUUACCUACAGAAGAAGCACCGGCUAACUCUGUGCCAGCAGCCGCAGUAAAAC
rnacentral:rRNA from 1 species